AGUUGGGGUGCAGGACCCCUGAUAUGGGGACCCCCACUCUAGUCCAGGGAUAGGGUGCACCCACGAACACACAAGAAUCC
rnacentral:pre_miRNA from 7 species